rnacentral:rRNA from 1 species
UACGGGAGGCAGCAGUGGGGGAUAUUGCACAAUGGGGGGAACCCUGAUGCAGCGACGCCGCGUGAGUGAAGAAGUUAUUCGUAAUGUAAAGCUCUAUCAGCAGGGAAGAAGCAGACGGUACCUGACUAAGAAGCACCGGCUAAAUACGUGCCAGCAGCCGCGGUAAU